AACGAACGCUGGCGGCAGGCUUAACACAUGCAAGUCGAGCGAAGCCUUCGGGCUUAGCGGCGGACGGGUGAGUAACGCGUGGGAACGUGCCCCUUGGUACGGAAUAGUCCCUGGAAACGGGGUUUAAUACCGUAUGGUGUCUUCGGACUAAAGAUUUAUCGCCAAGGGAUCGGCCCGCAUUGGAUUAGGUAGUUGGUGGGGUAAUGGCCUACCAAGCCGACGAUCCAUAGCUGGUUUGAGAGGAUGAUCAGCCACACUGGGACUGAGACACGGCCCAGACUCCUACGGGAGGCAGCAGUGGGGAAUCUUAGACAAUGGGGGAAACCCUGAUCUAGCCAUGCCGCGUGAGCGAUGAAGGCCUUAGGGUUGUAAAGCUCUUUCGCUGGGGAAGAUAAUGACGGUACCCAGUAAAGAAGCCCCGGCUAACUCCGUGCCAGCAGCCGCGGUAAUACGGAGGGGGCUAGCGUUGUUCGGAAUUACUGGGCGUAAAGCGCGCGUAGGCGGAUUGGAAAGUUGGGGGUGAAAUCCCGGGGCUCAACCCCGGAACUGC
rnacentral:rRNA from 1 species